UACGCAGGGUGCAAGCGUUAAUCGGAAUUACUGGGCGUAAAGCGUGCGCAGGCGGUUCGCUAAGACCGAUGUGAAAUCCCCGGGCUUAACCUGGGAACUGCAUUGGUGACUGGCGGGCUAGAGUAUGGCAGAGGGGGGUAGAAUUCCACGUGUAGCAGUGAAAUGCGUAGAGAUGUGGAGGAAUACCGAUGGCGAAGGCAGCCCCCUGGGCCAAUACUGACGCUCAUGCACGAAAGCGUGGGGAGCAAACAGG
rnacentral:rRNA from 1 species